ACUUAGGUUGAAAACUGAGGGGAUGAGCUGUGGGUAGGGGUGAAAGGCCAAUCAAACUCCGUGAUAGCUGGUUCUCCCCGAAAUGCAUUUAGGUGCAGCGUUGCGUGUUUCUUGCUGGAGGUAGAGCGGGACUACAAUCUUAGCAAUGUCAGCCAAACUCCGAAUGCCGGUAAUGUUAUAGCGUGGCAGUGAGACUGCGGGGGAUAAGCUCCGUUGGUCGAGAGGGAAACAGCCCAGAUCGCCGGUUAAG
rnacentral:rRNA from 1 species